UCGCGGUAGCUGAGAGGUCCAGCGCCUGAUUGUGACCCAGGAGACCAGAGGUUCGAUUCCGCUCCGCGAACCA
rnacentral:tRNA from 1 species